rnacentral:lncRNA from 10 species
UUUGACUGUACUGGUAUUUUAAGCAUUCAAAUGUGUUCUAAGCCAGUCUAGCAGACAUUCUAUGCAAGUCAAGCCACUGCCCUUUAAACCAGAAGGAACUUAGGGACCCUGGAAAUCCUCAGUCAGCAGAGUCUGGUUUGAACUGCAAUGAAAUCCAUUUGCCCAGGGACACUAAUAGACGCAAUUCAGAGGCUAUGAAGAAAAUCUUAUUUAAAUAAACAACAAAAAUUAACAGAUUGAUUAAUGUGGUUCCUGUACAAGGAUGACAUCCACAUUCGUGAUGUGGAGAUAACAUCAGGUGCUGAGAAUACAACAAUGAACAACACAGAUUAAGCCUCUAUUUUUAUGGAGUGCCCUACAGUUAAAUGACAGAUGUCACUUUUGCUCUCAACUAAUUUACUAGCACUACUUAAAUGGCUCAAUUCAACUAUAAGGGAGAAAAGAAAUGAAAUCCUGCCAUGUACCUGGAGAUUGGAGUACAAGAAAUACUUGGUAAACAGCACAAAUGACCAUCACCACAGUGCACUCUUCUCACCACAAAACAUUUGGCCCAUUCUCUCUCUCACAGGCAAGGUACUCUCCCAUGGGAUACAAAGCAAACAUUCUACUUAGACAUGUCAGGAAGCUGAAAUUCUAGAGGCUCUGAAUGAUGCCAGGCAGUCUCUAUAUCAGACGGCAUUUAUAUCAAGUUUGGAUGUGACUUAUCUUCAUGCAAAGCUCUAUGAAAUAAAAAAGUAACUUUUAUGCCCUGUAUGGAUAUCCCAGGGCUGACAUAACAAAUAAUCACAGAUUUGGAGGUUUGAAACAACAGAAAUUUAUUUUCUCAUGGUUCUGACAAUGAGGGAUCAUCAAGGCUGUGCUUCCUCCAGAGCCUCUAGGGGAAAACCUUUUUUUUGCCUUUUCCAGCCUAGGUACCUCCAAGUGUUCCUUGACUUGUGGCUGCACAACUUCAAUAUCUGCUUCCAUAUCCACAUAUCCUUCUCCCCUGUUGCCUGUGUCUGUAUCCUUCUGCGUGUCUCUUUUAAGAAUACUUGUCUGGAUUAAGGAGCCACACAGAUAAUCCGGGAUGAUCUCAUUAAAGAUGCAUAAUUAAUUUCAUCUGCAAAGGUGUUUUUUCCAUAAUAAGGUCGCAAUCACAGGUUCAGGUUCAGGUUCAGGGAUAAAGAUGUGUGCUGACCCUGUGCUUAUGUGGGGAGUGGGAUGACCUAGUGCUGAUGUGGAGAGUGUGAUGACUUAGUGCUGAAUUGGGGAGUGUGCUGACCCUGUGCUGAUGUAGGAAGUGCAAUGACCCUGUGCUUCUGUGGUGACUUCCUCUAUACGCAUAUGAAUGAGGUAAGGGCUUUGGAGAGGCAAUUCCUGCAUAAUAUCAUACUUUACUAUCUGUUCAGGUGGUUUUUGUAUUGCUCCAUCACUAAGUUUGCUAGUUAGUUUAACAGGUCAAGUUAGCAGCUUAUUUUUGAAUCCUUGUAGAAAAGAAAACAUUUCCUUUAAAAUACGAGAACAACAGAAUAAAC